rnacentral:lncRNA from 1 species
CUCUCCCAGCCCCUCUGCUCACUCAGUUUCUGGGGCACCAAGGAGUUUGGGACUGCUGGAACUUGGUUUCACAAGCUCACAGCAUUUCAGAGGUGCAAAGGGCUCCUUCGUGAACAUGGGGCUCAGGUCCCACUGGGCCAAAGGGCAUGGGCAGAUCCUGCAGUGGGGCUGUUUAUGAGGGGCUGAACAAGAACAUGGUGAGCUUCUGGCCUGUUGAAGCUGCUAUGGAAACUCCCAUCAGCUCCACUGAACUCCAAACCAGGCCUGAAAUAUUUUUUCACACCAUGCUACGUGAGGGCUCCCAUCAAAUCAUUCUGCAGGCAGUUGUGUUCUUUCAGGAUACAGAACUUCCAUUUACAGGAGACUCUGGCAGCCUGCUGCUUCCUAGACAGAAAAUCCAGCAAGCAGCCUGUUCCAUCUCCUCACCAGAUUCCUGGUGUCAUUUCUGCAGAGGCAGGACCUCAUCUGUUGCUCCAUCUUGGAGAAAGAACUACAAGGCAGGCUCAAAGGCAGAGGCAGGCUCAAAGCAAGCUGAGCCUUCUGGAAGCCAAAGGAAUGCAAGAAAUCACACAGCUUAAGAAAGCCAGACAAUGCAAACAUCACAUAAAUCUGGGAAGAAGUUUAACCCAAAAUACUUGCUGACCUUUGCUGAUGCUCCCCUUCAUCUCCCCAGUAUUUUAUGCUUCUGAAACCCAGCCCCAGCACUGGCAGAUCUUCAGAGAAGUCAGUUCUUGCACAAACAGGAAAGCAGACUCCCUUCCCACUAAUUUAGGGGGUGUUUCCAGAGGACACAGGGGCAGGGAGGUGUGUUUGCCUCCAGGACCAGGCUUGAGGCUGGUCUGGAAUAAAUUAAUUUCUCAGGUGGGCA